rnacentral:rRNA from 1 species
UACGAAGGGGGCUAGCGUUGUUCGGAAUUACUGGGCGUAAAGCGCGCGCAGGCGGUCUUCCAAGUCAGUGGUGAAAGCCCGGAGCUCAACUCCAGAACUGCCUUUGAUACUGAAGAUCUUGAGUCCGGAAGAGGUGAGUGGAACUGCGAGUGUAGAGGUGAAAUUCGUAGAUAUUCGCAAGAACACCAGUGGCGAAGGCGGCUCACUGGUCCGGUACUGACGCUGAGGCACGGAAAGCGUGGGGAGCAAACAGGG